AUGUCGGCACCAGCAGCUCCGCCACCGCCGACGAUGUCGGCAUCCAAUCCCAUCUCCCCACGCUCCAGCAACCCUCUCCCCUCCACAACCUCCGCCACAACUCCUCUCGAGCUGCCCGGCGUGACCUCCGCCGCGGCCGCACGGAACCCUAGGAUCCACCACACCAGCGGUGUACUCCACCUCCACCGCUCCUCCUCCACCUUCCCCGCUUCAUGCUAUGCCUCCGCUGUCGCCGCCACCGCCACCCUCUUCCUCCUCCUCCGGGCCCGCCGCCCCACCGAUCCCCUGCAUCUCUCUACUCCAGGUAACGAUCCCGCCUCGAUUUCUCACCAAUUUGCUCUUUUCCGCGUGCCGCGCCUCCUGGUGCUCGCCGUUCCAACCCGGGUCACGCCGGACGACUUCGUCCGUUUCUGCGGCCCCUACGUCGAGCACGCCUCUGAGAUCCGUGUCAUCAGCGAUGAUGGGGUGGAGGACCGGUAUGUGCUUGUUGAGUUUGAGGAUCAGAAGAGUGCCGAUGGAUUCUACCUGGACCUCAAUGGCUGGAGGUUCUCGUCCUCAGAGGUAGAGGUGUGCCAUGAUCUGUUUAUAGUUGCUGUGCAACACACAUCAUCCACUGAGCUUCUUACAACCUCUGAGGCAUAGAAAGGUUGGAUCAAGACAUCAGCGGAAUUGGGGCUACUAAUUGUGACCAUUCUUUCCAGUGUUCAUGCGUUUCAAUGUGGGUCAGUUCAUCUUGUCCGGUUUGUCAGUUCUGUCAGAAGCUGUCUGAAGCUCCUACAAAUCCUACAUGUUCUGUUUGCCAGACCUCUGAAAACCUCUGGAUCUGUGUGAUAUGUGGUUUUGUUGGAUGCGGAAGGUACAAAGAAGGGCAUUCAACCAGGCACUGGAAAGGCACUCAGCACUGCUAUUCUCUCGAUUUGGAAACUCAACGUGUUUGGAAUUAUGUUGGUGACAGUUAUGUCCAUCGACUCAAUCACUCAAAAAGCGAUGUAAAGCAUGCUAAGUUCAGUUCAAAGUGUGAAUAUCCCGAGGACAACUGCGUAAACUGUAUGCACGAGGACUCAGAUAUGGGUGGAGUUAUGUUUAGCAGAAAGCGGACACAAUUGUGGAUGAAUACAAUCGUCUUUUAGCAAACCAACUUGAAACUCAGCGAGAGGUGCAGUGCUCUUUCCUUUGUAGUACUGUUUUUUUUACUAUCCAUUGUAUUGUUCUAGAGCUUCUCGUAUAGUUUUUCUUGGAGAUACAUUUUGUUAUAAUUAGUUAUGUACUAUUCUGAUCCAUUUAUAUGCCUCUGUUCGUUCAUAAGCUCUUUUGCCAGACGCUAAGAAAGAAAGGGAACGCCACAUUUCUGUUGCUGUGGAUAAAACUGUAAAUGAUAAGCUUCAAGAGAUGCAACUUAAGCUUGAAAAUACAAUGUUGGAGAAAAGAAAGUUGCUGAAAUGAAUGAAAAACUCAUGAAGAGCCAGGAUAUAUGGCACCAGACGGUAAAGGGAAUAGAGGAAAGGGAGAGAGCACAGUUGAAGCUGAAGGAUGAUAUGAUUCUUGACCUGGAAGAACAGAUAAAAGACUUCAAAUAUUCCAUCAAGUUACAAAAGUCUAUUGCGAAGAGUUCACAUGCUGAUGAUCUCAAAGGAGGUAUGCUGGUGCCACUAGCCAUAGAAUCAGAUCCUGGAAAAGGGUGAAAGGUCAUCAAGAACAAGCAAGAGAAUGAAUUUGCGGCGAUUUUGCCAGCAUGACUGCAUGAACCUCCAUUAUUUGCCGCAUACGCAAAGGGUCUGAUACAUUCUCUUUAAGAAAUAGUACAAUCAGUUACAAAGUAGAGUAGGUUACAUUAGAGCCAGAAAAAGGAAGCUUUGUGGAUCUUACAUUUAAGGAUUAUACAUAUCUAACAUGUAAUGCUCAAGCACUACAUGACCGUAGUACGGAUGUUUAAUGGCUCAAGCACUACAUCUUGAGCAUUACUGAUCUUCCGUAAGGAUGGCAAAACGAGAAUCCAAUAGUGGCCCAAAAUGCCAACACAAAGCCGGCAGCUGUGACCACAUAUAGAACUGGGUCACUGGUCGUCUCUUCCACUUCUUUCCUGGCAGCAGGAUCUGGACCAGGAGCAGCACACAUGUUCCCGUGUGUAAUCUGGUGAAGGUUGGUGUUACCUAGGUAGCUCUCCAUGCCGAAGCCUAGCUGACCAGAGUUUGGUAUACAUCCUGACAAGUUGUAUGCCACAGAGAACACCCCC
rnacentral:rRNA from 1 species